rnacentral:lncRNA from 1 species
AACAUAAAUGAGUGAUAAGCAUACAGUAGGCCUAUAGAAGAAGUGGAGUCCUGAAGCAUUUUGAGUGUACGUGCGUACGUGCGCCUGACCGGUCUUGUGCGUCUCAUCAGAGCCAGGAAACAGUUGAGCCGGAGUGUUUUUGUCCAAAGUGCACUGAUCUGAGUCAUUAGCAGAAUCCCUUUUGUCUGUGGCCUAAUGUGACAAGCAGAGAACACCAUCAAUGUCAUGACCCAGUUGUUGAAAUGACCCAUGACACGGCUGAAGAAAUGACCCUUUAUAAAAUGUCAAAAUUCUGAUCAAUAUACUCUAUGUAUGGGUGAGUGUCCAGUGACAAGCUAUCCCACAAGCUUAGUCUCACAGUGUGAUCAACUAGUCAUCUGGCAUCAUUAUGUGUAUCAUCAAAGUGAAAGAGAAUGUUUUUUUUUAUUGUUAUUUUGAUUACAGAUAUAGGAAACAUGCUGUCAGUGCUCUACAUAAUGAUCUUGGGGUGUCAUGGUACAUUUAGGAAGACAAAGAUAUAUCAAGUGAGCCAGUUUUAGCCUAUAAAUUGUAUUAUUUGCUAAAUCAACGAGUCUAUCAUAUUUUCAACAUUAAACUGAAAGAUUUUGCAUCUAAUUCAAUGCAUUGGUGACUUUUAUACAAAGAUAUACACACAUAUUGGGCCUGUAUCCAACUUUUUUAGGUUGCUUGUUUUUUAUGUAGGUGCUGGUGUUCUGUGUAGUUGCCUAUUUGGAUUCUGAUGCAUGUUUGUAGCUUCAAAUAUAGUGUGUACAACCCUGCUGUAGGGCUCAAACACAGAGUACCAAAGCUUUUCAUUAUUAACUUCUGCUUAACUAGUGUGUGUGUGUGUGUGUGUGUGUGUGUGUGUGUGUGUGUGUGUGUGUGUGUGUGUGUGUGUGUGUGUGUGUGUGUGUGUGUGUGUGUGUGUGUGUGUGUGUGUGUGUGUGUGUGUGUGUGUGUGUGUGUGUGUGUUCUCAGGAUUAACCCUAGCCCGACCUCUCUCUGCCCUUCACCCAGCAACGCCCACCAGACCAAAAUGGAUGAGCCGCUCUCUGAGGAAGGAAGCAAAGAGAGGCAACAAACCGGAGAGUCGACAGAGAGAGCAGCCUGA